rnacentral:rRNA from 1 species
UACGGGGGGGGCAAGCGUUGUUCGGAAUUACUGGGCGUAAAGGGCUCGUAGGCGGCCAACUAAGUCGGAUGUGAAAUCCCCAGGCUUAACCUGGGAACUGCAUCCGAUACUGGAUGGCUUGAAUUCGGGAGAGGGAUGCAGAAUUCCAGGUGUAGCGGUGAAAUGCGCAGAUAUCAGGAGGAACACCGAUGGCGAAGGCAGGUCUCUGGGCCGAUACUGACGCUGAGGAGCGAAAGCGUGGGGAGCGAACAGG